rnacentral:rRNA from 1 species
GACGAACGCUGGCGGCGUGCUUAACACAUGCAAGUCGAACGGUGAAGCGCCUUCCUUUUUGGUGGGUGUGGAUGAGUGGCGAACGGGUGAGUAACACGUGAGUAACCUGCCCCCUUCUUCUGGAUAACCGCAUGAAAGUGUGGCUAAUACGGGAUAUUCUGGGUCUGUCGCAUGAUGGGUCUGGGAAAGAUAUUGUUUCGGUGGGGGAUGGGCUCGCGGCCUAUCAGCUUGUUGGCGGGGUGAUGGCCUACCAAGGCGGUGACGGGUAGCCGGCCUGAGAGGGUGGACGGUCACACUGGGACUGAGACACGGCCCAGACUCCUACGGGAGGCAGCAGUGGGGAAUAUUGCACAAUGGGCGCAAGCCUGAUGCAGCGACGCCGCGUGAGGGAUGGAGGCCUUCGGGUUGUGAACCUCUUUCGCCAGUGAAGCAGGCCUGCCUCGUUUGUGGGUGGGUUGACGGUAGCUGGAGAAGAAGCGCCGGCUAACUACGUG